rnacentral:rRNA from 1 species
CCUACGGGAGGCUGCAGUGAGGAAUAUUGGUCAAUGGACGCAAGUCUGAACCAGCCAUGCCGCGUGCAGGAAGACGGCCCUAUGAGUUGUAAACUGCUUUUGUACGGGGGUAAACUCAGAUACGCGUAUCUUUCUGAAAGUAUCGUACGAAUAAGGAUCGGCUAACUCCGUGCCAGCAGCCGCGGUAAUACGGAGGAUUCAAGCGUUAUCCGGAUUUAUUGGGUUUAAAGGGUGCGUAGGCGGUCGGAUAAGUUAGAGGUGAAAUCCCGAGGCUCAACUUCGGAAUUGCCUCGGAUACUGUUCGGCUAGAGUGUAGUUGCGGUAGGCGGAAUGUAUGGUGUAGCGGUGAAAUGCUUAGAGAUCAUACAGAACACCGAUUGCGAAGGCAGCUUACCAAGCUACUUCUGACGUUGAGGCACGAAAGCGUGGGGAGCAAACAGGAUUAGAUACCCGGGUAGUC